rnacentral:rRNA from 1 species
CGCCAGUCUGCAUGGAGCCGACCUUGAAAUACCACCCUUUAAUGUUUGAUGUUCUAACGUUGACCCGUAAUCCGGGUUGCGGACAGUGUCUGGUGGGUAGUUUGACUGGGGCGGUCUCCUCCUAAAGAGUAACGGAGGAGCACGAAGGUUGGCUAAUCCUGGUCGGACAUCAGGAGGUUAGUGCAAUGGCAUAAGCCAGCUUGACUGCGAGCGUGACGGCGCGAGCAGGUGCGAAAGCAGGUCAUAGUGAUCCGGUGGUUCUGAAUGGAAGGGCCAUCGCUCAACGGAUAAAAGGUACUCCGGGGAUAACAGGCUGAUACCGCCCAAGAGUUCAUAUCGACGGCGGUGUUUGGCACCUCGAUGUCGGCUCAUCACAUCCUGGGGCUGAAGUAGGUCCCAAGGGUAUGGCUGUUCGCCAUUUAAAGUGGUACGCGAGCUGGGUUUAGAACGUCGUGAGACAGUUCGGUCCCUAUCUGCCGUGGGCGCUGGAGAACUGAGGGGGGCUGCUCCUAGUACGAGAGGACCGGAGUGGACGCAUCACUGGUGUUCGGGUUGUCAUGCCAAUGGCACUGCCCGGUAGCUAAAUGCGGAAGAGAUAAGUGCUGAAAGCAUCUAAGCACGAAACUUGCCCCGAGAUGAGUUCUCCCUGACCCUUUAAGGGUCCUGAAGGAACGUUGAAGACGACGACGUUGAUAGGCCGGGUGUGUAAGCGCAGCGAUGCGUUGAGCUAACCGGUACUAAUGAACCGUGAGG